GGUCUGGUGGUCUAGUGGUAUGAUUCUCGCUUAGGGUAAACCCUAUAGCUAAGCUUGCGAGAGGUCCCGGGUUCAAUCCCCGGCCAGACCC
rnacentral:tRNA from 5 species